UCCGGUUUGUCACCGGCAGUCCCAUUAGAGUGCUCAACUGAAUGUAGCAACUAAUGGCAAGGGUUGCGCUCGUUGCGGGACUUAACCCAACAUCUCACGACACGAGCUGACGACAGCCAUGCAGCACCUGUGUCCAGGUUCCCUUUCGGGCACCCCUCCAUCUCUGGAGGGUUCCUGGCAUGUCAAGGGUAGGUAAGGUGGGGAUGACGUGUAACCGAAUCU
rnacentral:misc_RNA from 1 species